AGUCGAACGGCAGCACGGACUUCGGUCUGGUGGCGAGUGGCGAACGGGUGAGUAAUGUAUCGGAACGUGCCUAGUAGCGGGGGAUAACUACGCGAAAGCGUAGCUAAUACCGCAUACGCCCUUCGGGGGAAAGCGGGGGACCUUCGGGCCUCGCACUAUUAGAGCAGCCGAUAUCCAGUUAGCUAGUUGGUGGGGUAACGGCUCACCAAGGCGACGAUCGUAGCUGGUUUGAGAGGACGACCAGCCACACUGGGACUGAGACACGGCCAGAGCUCUACGGGAGGCAGCAGUGAAAUUUUGGACAAUGGGGGAAGCCACAGUCCAGCCAUCCCGCGUGUGCGAUGAAGGCCUUCGGGUUGUAAAGCACUUUUGGCGGGAAAGAAACGGCACGGGAUAAUACCCCGUGCAACUGACAGUACCUGCAGAAUAAGCACCGGCUAACUACGUGCCAGCAGCCGCGGUAAUACGUAAGUGCAAGCGUUAAUCGGAAUUACUGGGCGUAAAGCGUGCACCAGCGGUUCGGAAGAAAGAUGUGAAAUCCGCAGAGCCUUUGGAACUGCAUUUUUUAACUACCGAAGACUAGAGUGUGUCAGGGAAGUGGAAUUCCGCGUGUAGCAGUGAAAUGCGUAGAUAUGCCGGAGGAACGCCGAUGGCGAAGGCAGCCUCCUGGGAUAACGCUGACGCUCAUGCACGAAAGCGUGGGGAGCAAACAGGAUUAGAUACCCUGGUAGUCCACGCCCUAAACGAUGUCAACUAGCUGUUGGGGCCUUCGGGCCUUGGUAGCGCAGCUAACGCGUGAAGUUGACCGCCUGCCAGGAUACGGUCGCAAAGAUUAAAACUCAAAGGAAUUGACGGGGACCCGCACAAGCGGUGGAUGAUGUGGAUUAAUUCGAUGCAACGCGAAAAACCUUACCUACCCUUGACAUGUCUGGAAUCCCGAAAGAGAUUUGGGAGUGCUCGCAAGAGAACCGGAACACAGGUGCUGCAUGGCUGUCGUCAGCUCGUGUCGUGAGAUGUUGGGUUAAGUCCCGCAACAGCGAGCGCAACCCUUGUCAUUAGUGCUUACGAAAGGACACUCUAAUGGAACUGCCGGUAUGAAACCGGAGGAAGGUGGGGAUGACGUCAAGUCCUCAUGGCCCUUAUGGGUAGGGCUUCACGUCAUACAAUGGUCGGGACAGAGGGUCGCCAACCCGCGAGGGGGAGCCAAUCCCAGAAACCCGAUCGUAGUCCGGAUCGCAGUCUGCAACUCGACUGCGUGAAGUCGGAAUCGCUAGUAAUCGCGGAUCAACAUGUCGCGGUGAAUACGUUCCAGGUCUUGUACACACCGCCCGUCACACACCAUGGGAGUGGGUUUUACCAGAAGUAGUUAGCCUAACCGUAAGGAGGGCGAUUACCACGGUAGGAUUCAUGACUGGGGUGAAGUCGUAACAAGGUAA
rnacentral:rRNA from 1 species